GAUGAAGAACGCAGCGAAAUGCGAUAAUUAAUGUGAAUUGCAGAAUUCAGUGAAUCAUCGAGUCUUUGAACGCACAUUGCGCCCCCUGGUAUUCCGGGGGGCAUGCCUGUCCGAGCGUCAUUGCUGCCCUCAAGCACGGCUUGUGUGUUGGGCUUCCGUCCCUGGUAACGGGGACGGGCCCAAAAGGCAGUGGCGGCACCAUGUCUGGUCCUCGAGCGUAUGGGGCUUUGUCACCCGCUCCCGUAGGUCCAGCUGGCAGCUAGCCUCGCAACCAAUCUUUUUAACCAGGUUGACCUCGGAUCAAGUAGGGAUACCCGCUGAACUUAAGCAUAUCAAUAAGCGGAGGA
rnacentral:misc_RNA from 1 species